AGCCCAGCUUGCUGGGUGGAUUAGUGGCGAACGGGUGAGUAACACGUGAGUAACCUGCCCUUAACUCUGGGAUAAGCCUGGGAAACURGGUCUAAUACCGGAUAGGAGCGYCYACCGCAUGGUGGGUGUUGGAAAGAUUUAUCGGUUUUGGAUGGACUCGCGGCCUAUCAGCUUGUUGGUGAGGUAAUGGCUCACCAAGGCGACGACGGGUAGCCGGCCUGAGAGGGUGACCGGCCACACUGGGACUGAGACACGGCCCAGACUCCUACGGGAGGCAGCAGUGGGGAAUAUUGCACAAUGGGCGCAAGCCUGAUGCAGCGACGCCGCGUGAGGGAUGACGGCCUUCGGGUUGUAAACCUCUUUCAGUAGGGAAGAAGCGAAAGUGACGGUACCUGCAGAAGAAGCACCGGCUAACUACGUGCCAGCAGCCGCGGUAAUACGUAGGGUGCGAGCGUUAUCCGGAAUUAUUGGGCGUAAAGAGCUCGUAGGCGGUUUGUCGCGUCUGUCGUGAAAGUCCGGGGCUUAACCCCGGAUCUGCGGUGGGUACGGGCAGACUAGAGUGCAGUAGGGGAGACUGGAAUUCCUGGUGUAGCGGUGGAAUGCGCAGAUAUCAGGAGGAACACCGAUGGCGAAGGCAGGUCUCUGGGCUGUAACUGACGCUGAGGAGCGAAAGCAUGGGGAGCGAACAGGAUUAGAUACCCUGGUAGUCCAUGCCGUAAACGUUGGGCACUAGGUGUGGGGACCAUUCCACGGUUUCCGCGCCGCAGCUAACGCAUUAAGGCCCCGCCUGGGGAGUACGGCCGCAAGGCUAAAACUCAAAGGAAUUGACGGGGGCCCGCACAAGCGGCGGAGCAUGCGGAUUAAUUCGAUGCAACGCGAAGAACCUUACCAAGGCUUGACAUGUUCUCGAUCGCCGUAGAGAUACGGUUUCCCCUUUGGGGCGGGUUCACAGGUGGUGCAUGGUUGUCGUCAGCUCGUGUCGUGAGAUGUUGGGUUAAGUCCCGCAACGAGCGCAACCCUCGUUCCAUGUUGCCAGCACGUMRUGGUGGGGACUCAUGGGAGACUGCCGGGGUCAACUCGGAGGAAGGUGAGGACGACGUCAAAUCAUCAUGCCCCUUAUGUCUUGGGCUUCACGCAUGCUACAAUGGCCGGUACAAUGGGUUGCGAUACUGUGAGGUGGAGCUAAUCCCAAAAAGCCGGUCUCAGUUCGGAUUGGGGUCUGCAACUCGACCCCAUGAAGUCGGAGUCGCUAGUAAUCGCAGAUCAGCAACGCUGCGGUGAAUACGUUCCCGGGCCUUGUACACACCGCCCGUCAAGUCACGAAAGUUGGUAACACCCGAAGCCGGUGGCCUAACC
rnacentral:rRNA from 1 species